CAACUCAAAAAAAGAGUGAAUAUUGCUGCUGGAGUCUUGUCACAAUUCAGCACAGGCUGUCGUAAACCACUUCCAGCCCCUGUGUGCAGCUUCUACAAAUACAUGAAGCGCUGCGAACCUGGCCGGGGCGCAGGAAGAGACAGCCCAACAAAACCUAACAGAUGAUUCAUGUUUUUGAGCCACUUAUGGACCUUAAAAAAAGAGAAGAGUUUGAGACAGAUAUAAAUAUCCCCACAGCAGAGCAGAGGCUCCUCUCAGUGGCUUGGUCCCAAAGGAGGAUGUGUCUGACGAGGAAGGCUGUGCUGAUGGGCCAGAGAUGUGCUGAAGCAUUCAAAGUUAAGAUUAGGCAGGAAAUUAGUAGGUGUGUUUGCACAGCUUUAGGAGCAAACAUUUCUAAGGCCCAUACAAGACCUUGCAUAGCCAGAGGCUGAGCACUGUUCCAUAGGCACAGGCCAGGGGGACAGGCUCCCACUGAGUUUUACACCGUCUGGAUCAGACUCCCCCAGAAAGGAGUGGCUAGGAUGAUGCGCUCCAAAAGGUAUCUAAUCUGUGUUGAAAAUGUUCCUAUUCUUCAGAGAUGAAGAAUCCUUUGUUUCUCUGGAGGCUUUUUGCUAAUCAAUUUCACCAAUUAAAAUUUGUUAUUUGUUUCUUA